rnacentral:rRNA from 1 species
UACAGAGGUCCCAAGCGCUGUUCGGAUUCACUGGGCGUAAAGGGUGCGUAGGUGGUGAGGUAAGUCGGAUGUGAAAUCUCCGAGCUCAACUCGGAAAUGGCAUUGGAAACUACCUUGCUAGAGGGUUGGAGGGGGGACUGGAAUGCUUGGUGUAGCAGUGAAAUGCGUAGAUAUCAAGCGGAACACCAGUGGCGAAGGCGAGUCCCUGGACAACUCCUGACACUGAGGCACGAAAGCUAGGGGAGCAAACAGG